rnacentral:rRNA from 1 species
GAUGAACGCUGGCGGCGUGCCUAAUACAUGCAAGUCGAGCGAACAGACGAGGAGCUUGCUCCUCUGACGUUAGCGGCGGACGGGUGAGUAACACGUGGAUAACCUACCUAUAAGACUGGGAUAACUUCGGGAAACCGGAGCUAAUACCGGAUAAUAUAUUGAACCGCAUGGUUCAAUAGUGAAAGACGGUUUUGCUGUCACUUAUAGAUGGAUCCGCGCCGCAUUAGCUAAUUGGUAAGGUAACGGCUUACCAAGGCAACGAUGCGUAGCCGACCUGAGAGGGUGAUCGGCCACACUGGAACUGAGACACGGUCCAGACUCCUACGGGAGGCAGCAGUAGGGAAUCUUCCGCAAUGGGCGAAAGCCUGACGGAGCAACGCCGCGUGAAUGAUGAAGGUCUUCGGAUCGUAAAACUCUGUUAUUAGGGAAGAACAAAUGUGUAAGUAACUAUGCACGUCUUGACGGUACCUAAUCAGAAAGCCACGGCUAACUACGUG